AACUUUCAACAAUGGAUCUCUUGGCUCUCGCAUCGAUGAAGAACGUAGCGAAGUGCGAUAAGUAAUGUGAAUUGCAGUAUUCCGUGAAUCAUCGAAUCUUUGAACGCAUAUUGCACUCUCUGGUAUUCCGGGGAGUAUGCCUGUUUGAGGGUCAGUUUAAAUAAAAAUCGGUGUUGUUGCUGCCUUUCGUGGUAACGCGUCGGAAUUGAGUCGUCUUAACCUAAGUGACUUAAAAUUUUAUGUGAUUUUUAAACGUAUUUAAACUAUUUACUUACGUUUGAAUCAAUUUGAUUAGGUUCGGUCAUCCUUAUGACCUCGCGCCUAUAAUUUUUCAUUAAAUGACCUCAAAUCAGGUAAGAAUACCCGCUGAACUUAAGCAUAUCAAUAAGCGGAGGAU
rnacentral:misc_RNA from 1 species